UAGUAUGUUUCCAAGGUCUGUUGCUGGUAGUGGCCAUGGGGUCUCCAACUACAUACUAGAGCAACCUGGGGAGACUUUCGCAGUUAAGUACGGGUCCCUGCAGCUGCUAUGUACCUUUUCUAUAAAC